UUAAACAUAAAUUAAUCUCCGGCCCAAAGAGUCCCGUGUUUCGCUCACCUGCGGCGCCCGUCGCCAGGACGCGGAGGUGGUGCCGGCUGUCUGGAAAACAAGGGAAGAGAAAGCGAGGGAUUUUCUGCAGGCUUGAUGCAACCCGCGCUGGGUUGUUGCAUCAAAGACCUAGAAAGGAACCCGAGACAAAAAUAAUCUCCUCAGAUGAGCGCCGCGUGUCAAGAUGCUGCCGAGCGCGACGACAUGAGUUCUGCUUGUUCCACAUGCAGCACCGUGUGUCCUGGUUCAACCAAGGUCCUGUUUUCGAAGUGAUCUUUAGGCUCUGACCAUGCAAUUUUGGCUUUGAAUCCAAGCUUCCCUCAGUUCGGGACGUUUGGCUCUAGAGUCUGCGUGUGGCUUGUCACAAUGACAGAAAAUUCAUACGAAGUUCUGAAUUUGGACUUCAAAUGUUUAUGUUCAAACCUGCUGUAUUGGUUUAGGUCAUCCCUCUGACAAAUCUGAUCUAUUGGGAGAAUACAGAAGCAAAAAGAAGGACUUUUUACAAGGGCAGUGUACUGACUGAGGAGUGUGACAAACCCCUAUCCCAGGCAGAGGCUGCAAGAACAACACAGCCCAUUCCUCCUGUUUCUGAGUAAAACACAUUCCUAGCCGCACCCAUAAAGACAUCUCUCUCAACAAUACAGUGGGGUAAGUGAGAAAUCAAGAACCCAGAACAUCUCUAUUUAUUUGCAGCAAGCUGGUCUGCAUUCAAUAGUGAGUCCUUGAAUUAUUUAGUGUGCUGGUGGAAAAACUUCUAAAUCCUUUGACAGUUUCUGGUAUAUUGUAAUCCUGGAAAUGUUUUUCAAGUAAAUAGCAAUACUGAAGUCCCUCUUCUGGCCUAUGUUAGUAAUUUUGAUAUGCAAACUAUUCUGUGUUCUGGGCCCUUGCUCGUUUUUCAUGUAGGCAUACUUUUUAGGCUUCAGUGUUAACAUCCAAGAUUAAUGGGUCUGUUCCUACUUCCAAGAGUAUUGUUUCAGCUGCCUGCAUAGCGAGGUAAAAUCACUAUGCUGAUGUAUGAAUAGCUCACCUCAGAGAGUUUAUGGUUAUGGACAUUAAAAUAUUAUUGACUGUUUCUAAUGGAAACUUUUCAUUUUAGAGAAACAUAAUUCUUAACCAUGCUGUGGCAGUUUUCAUACUUCUCAGCUCGUGUCAUAGGUAAAACUUUGCGUAGACAUCUUUGAUUUGCUGUUAAUUUAUAGCCUGGCCUGUUUAUUUCCCUCCACAAUUUCUGUCCUUCUAGGACUUAUCUGCAUCUAAUUACGUAUUGCAUCAACGUCAACAAAUUGCAGUCAGGGACGCGGAUCUCACCAUGCAAGGCCUGAUACAAACUCCAAACCAAGAAGUUUCUGUCCAGUCCUACCAGCACAGCUGACACAGUGCUUAUCUCUGUCCUGUCUUUCCUGUUCUUAUGUCUCCCCCUCCUUUUCACCCUGUUCCAUCAAGCCUCUUCUGCUUUCUCUCCGUGACCUACCUGCUGCUCACUCUCUCUUGGCUGUGGCACACUUUCUUCCCCACCAGCCCAUUUAAUUGCAGUGUUCCAUUUCAUUAUUAGCUUGUCACCACCUUUAUCAAGUCACCUUUCCUAGCUCAGGCCUAGCCACAAAGCUUUCCUGCAUAGCUUGUCAUCAAUUUUCCACAUUAAGGCUUGUCUAAAACCACAUGCAAAAGGGUCUAUGAAAAAUAAUGACUCUAGUGCUGUAUUUAUUUCUGAAUAAAAAGCAGCAUUGGUGAAUAGCCUCUGUACAGGCAGAGACAGAUUUCCUGUGUGUCCAGUUCCUGCAGGCUCAUUGCACAGAAAUCUGUCUAUGUGUCAGUCAAACAAAGCCCUUCCCAUGGUGAAGACUUUAGGGAUUUCUAGGCAGUGGUCUUUACACGCACGUGGAGAUCCAUCCCAACAUCAAUGAGGUCAAUAGACAUCUUCCUAUUAAUUCUGGUUAGCUUUGGAUCAGAUUCUUGUUGUGCAUAGUAGGUUAAUUAAACAAAUUAACAACUGCAUGGUACUGCAGGUGGGCAGGCAUCAAGCAUGCUUAAUGUGGUAUCCUGCUGCCUCUGGAGUGCAGGGUGGAGCACUGUCAGCCAGAUUUAGCCUCCCCAGGAGUGUGGCCAGGGAAACGCAAAAGGUUUCUACAGACUUUCAGCCACAGAACCUUUUAUUUCCAUGUUGCAACCCUAAAUUUCUAGCUUGUGGCACUGAAGUAAUUUUCAAAGUAUGGUUUAGCUUACUUUAAGUGCAUUUUACGCAUGAGUAGACUCAAGCAAGGCAGAGGACAAGUGGCAGAUGGUCAGUGACAAAGACAGGAAUGGAAUGGAGAAUUUCCUUGUCCCAGGACAUGGCUUUAACAGACUUUGUCCCAGGAUUGUGAGAUUUAACUACUUAUAAUUCAUGAGGCUUCAGCAGUGCUGAAGGGGAAAAAAAAAGCAGCUGUCAUUGUUCAUAGUAUUUCCUGGCAAAGACUGGCUUCCAUAGGCAAAACUAUUUCAGCUUCUUAAGUAUGCAAUUUGGAGCUUAAUCUCUUCACUUUCCUACCAGUUUUAUUCCUUUUGAACUUGGCUGUGCCAUGUGCACUGCUCAUUUACAACUCCAGGGGGGAAGAACAAGUCUCCAAAGGAGCCCAUCAGAACACCUUUGAAACAGGCAUAGCGUUAUCUGUAACCCUGGUAAAAAUAACCAUAAUGAUAAUGGAUAAUUAUAAACCAUGUAACUGGCAAAACAACACACUGCAUUUCAGAGGAUGAAUUGCUUUACCCUGUCCAGUAACCCACUUUACAGUGCAGUAAUGGAUCUACAUUUGGAGGGUUGUGCAAUGAAAUGGAGCCUUUGGCAAGCUGGAAUCACACUGGAAGUGAGGCAACAUCUUUGUGGGAUUUUUAUAUAUGCAUAUUUGAAAAUCUGGAACUUAUCCCUUUUGACAUAAAGAGACUGGCUUGGAAUGAUUAAAUUCUAGAACAGAUUAUGAAAUAAUAAAGGCAGUAUUAUGAUGCAGCAGUACAACAGUGCAGUUACCCUCCACUUUACUGCUUCAAGUAUACUAUAUCUGAAAAGCUUUCUGCACUCCAGGGGAACUACUGAUUAUAAAUUAUAAAAAAGGAAUAGAAUAUCAUUCAUGUAUGAAAGAAAAAGACUUUUCAGACCCUUAUUUAGAUAAAGAACUUACUGAAGCAGCUAAAAAUAUGGGGAAAUGAAGUGAACACAGGGCCUGAUCCAAAGGCCCCUGAACUCAGCAGAAGCACUGCAGGGGGUGUUCAUUACGUGUCAGAGUCAUAUAUGUCGUCCUGAAUUCCAAUUCACAAAAUGCAAAUAAAGAAUGUUAUUGUAUAUGAGUGAGGAGAAGGUCUAAUUGCAGUGUCUAGGCAUUCCCUGUGGAUAAAAUGCGCAGAUUUUUCUCCAGCAGGUAGACUUUCCCAGCAAGGAUUUAUUGCCAAUAUUUAUGUGAGAGUUUGUAGUCCCAAAAGCACAAAAAUGCUGGGAAACAAAAAGGAAAGAAAAUGUAUCCAAAGAGAA